GCAUGGGACAGCGGGGAAAGCAGGCUGUGGUGGGACGCGUGUGUGUCCCCGAGUGUCGGAUGGGCUGUGAGUGCCGACACCGCGAGCAGCGCUUGGAGGGGUGGUGGGACACACCAACCCCUCUGUCACCCUGUGGACCCCCAAAAGUUGUUCCUGACCCCAGGGAAUCCUCUGCCAUGGCCAACCCAACUUUCCCCAAGCAAACCCCGCAGUGGUGCCAACUAGAGCGAAACACAGCAGGAUGUGCCAUCCUGGUACCCAGAACUGGGCAGACCGUAGUUUUCUCGGAGCUCCACAGUCUCCUCUCUUUGAAGUUGGACAGAUACAGUAAACACAACAAAUAUAUGAUACAACCCAUCACAGCUGGAUUAAAAAAAAAAAUACACAAAAAAUAUAAUACAUAAAAAAAUGGAUUUUUAACAUUGUGGACUGACGCAGCUCUAAAAAUGGUGAUUGUAACCCUGGUAAGCUUUACAAAGUCUUUAAAAAAAUAAAACAGUACUUCAUGUGAAA